AUCCGAGUGGUGAAAUGGAAGACACAACAAAUUUAAACUUUGUAGGCUAACUGCCGUAAAGGUUCAAGUCCUUUCUCGGAUA